AUUGAACGCUGGCGGAAUGCUUUACACAUGCAAGUCGAGCGGCAGCGCGGGGCAACCUGGCGGCGAGCGGCGAACGGGUGAGUAAUGCAUCGGAACAUGUCCAUGUCGUGGGGGAUAGCCCGGCGAAAGCCGGAUUAAUACCGCAUACGCCCGAGAGGGGAAAGUGGGGGACCGCAAGGCCUCACGCGAUUGGGUUGGCCGAUGUCCGAUUAGCUAGUUGGCGGGGUAAAGGCCCACCAAGGCGAUGAUCGGUAGCUGGUCUGAGAGGAUGAUCAGCCACACUGGGACUGAGACACGGCCCAGACUCCUACGGGAGGCAGCAGUGGGGAAUUUUGGACAAUGGGGGCAACCCUGAUUCAGCUAUUCCGCGUGGGUGAAGAAGGCCUUCGGGUUGUAAAGCUCUUUUGUCCGGAACGAAACGGUUACGGUGAAUACCCGUGACUACUGACGGUACCGGAAGAAUAAGCACCGGCUAACUACGUGCCAGCCGCCGCGGUAA
rnacentral:rRNA from 1 species